CUGGCGGGUCGUCCUAUCGCUCAAGUAAUUGGGAGGAAAGUCCGGGCAGGAGAGAGCAAUGCACUGUGGAAAGCACAGAUAGGCGAUGAGUUUAUGCAAGGGUAACAGAGAAUUACCGCCGCAGGAGCGUCAAGUUUCAUACUUGCAACAAGGCUGGUCAACCCGGCCUUUGCGCGCAGCAGGAGACCAUACGGUUGCCGGACUGCAACACUGCGGUAAGGGUGAAAAUGUGGGGUAAGAGCCCACGGGCUUCAAUGGCGACAUUGUUGCGGUAUCCUACUGCAUCCUGCAAGGCCAUGUAUACCGGCAAUCAAGGGUUGCUCGCCCGUUGCCGGGGGGUAGGCUGCAACAGAUAAAUGAUAGGAGCCUCUUAGGGUGGCCGUGAGGUACACCAGUCUGAGGUACAGAACUCGGCUUAUAGAUCCGCCCUAUAA
rnacentral:RNase_P_RNA from 1 species